UACGGAGGGUGCNAGCGUUAAUCGGAAUUACUGGGCGUAAAGCGCACGCAGGCGGUUUGAUAAGCUAGAUGUGAAAGCCCCGGGCUCAACCNGGGAUGGUCAUUUAGAANUGGCACACUAGAGUCUUGGAGAGGGGAGUNGAACUCCAGGUGUANCGGUGAAAUGCGUAGANAUCUGGAGGAACAUCAGUGGCGAAGGCGANUNCCUGGCNAAAUGACUGANGCUCAUGUNCGAAAGUGUGNGUAGCGAACCGG
rnacentral:rRNA from 1 species